UGGGGAAUAUUGCACAAUGGGCGCAAGCGUGAUGCAGCCAUGCCGCGUGUAUGAAGAAGGCCUUCGGGUUGUAAAGUACUUUCAGCGAGGAGGAAGGCGUUGUGGUUAAUAACCGCAACGAUUGACGUUACUCGCAGAAGAAGCACCGGCUAACUCCGUGCCAGCAGCCGCGGUAAUACGGAGGGUGCAAGCGUUAAUCGGAAUUACUGGGCGUAAAGCGCACGCAGGCGGUCUGUCAAGUCGGAUGUGAAAUCCCCGGGCUCAACCUGGGAACUGCAUCCGAAACUGGCAGGCUAGAGUAUUGUAGAGGGGGGUAGAAUUCCAGGUGUAGCGGUGAAAUGCGUAGAGAUCUGGAGGAAUACCGGUGGCGAAGGCGGCCCCCUGGACAAAGACUGACGCUCAGGUGCGAAAGCGUGGGGAGCAAACA
rnacentral:rRNA from 1 species